UACAUUAAUUACACUUGGGGAGAUGUUUCAGGCUGCAUGUAGCAUCAUGAGCUGGCUUGGGGACUCUGCAAAGGUAUGCAUUUCCAUCUGUGCAUAAUGUAAGCUAAACGAUAAAUAUGCCCACAAAAGGAUCAGGGAGAUGUUUCAGGCUGCACGUAGGAUCAUGAGCUGGCUUGGGGAUUGUGCAAAGGUAUGCAUUUCCAUCAGUGCAUAAUGUAACCUAAAUGACAAAAAUGCCCACGAAAGGAUCACAAAAAAAAUCUGUCACAUGAUCUUUUUGUAUCCUUGAAUACAGGUAUAGAGAAAGUAAAUAGACUUGCAAUUGAUUUUAGAGCUGAAUUAUGUAUAAUUAGAGGAAAACAUCUGGGAAAAGACACGAGUUGAAUCAAUGACAUAUAAGGUCUUUGUAUGUCUUAUCUCAGCUGAGAUGAAAACUUUGGUCUUUGAAGAGGAAAGGUUUGGAUCAAAGCAGUUAACAGUAAAUGAAGCCAGAUAGAUGUAAACCUAAAAUAAAAGCUUCUUCAUUUGUUGUGUGCAUCAACCAUUAGCAAUGAUUAUCAGGUUGAUUUCAAAUCCCUGUUUGUGAAUAAGCCUUUUGUGCAAGGGCAUACAUAUAUAUAUAUAUGUGUGUGUGUGUGUGUGUGUGUGUGUGUGUGUGUGUGUGGGCGCGCGCGCGCGCGCGCAAAAAGCUCUUCUAGGACAAGUUUUUGGUGCAGACUACCUUAACUAGACAGGCCAGGGUCAUCUUCCACUGCCUAGAGUGGACGAUUUCUCAAAUGGCUAGUUGUUAAGAAUUGGCCAUGAUCCAAAUACUUAGUGAUGCUAAGCUGAUGGCAUACUAUCUUCAAUUCUUUGCUGAGAUGGUCAUAUAGCUAAGAUGGAGAUCAAUAACCAUUGCGAUGAUCUUCCAUGGGAACUCGAUGAAGUUGUUUCUAUGACCUAGGAAAUUCAGUCAAGGUUUACACCAUGACUCUUGGGAGCAUAUGUUGGAUGGGCUGCAAAUAAGUUGUACUACAAGGGGCAAUAGCCCGAUACAUAAAAUUACAAGAGGUUUCGACCCUUAAAUGUAAAAUAAUUUUAUUAUUGUGCAUAGUAAUGUCCACAUGCAUUCAAUGAAAAGUGCUGACAUCACUUUCUUUCUUUUUUUUUCGUUUGCAAUUUUCCCUAUCCAUUGUGCAUCAUGAAGAAUAACUAAUUUCCAUUUUCAUGAUAUGGCACUGCUUUCAAUUUUUCUCUAUAUCGACCAGAUUAUUGCUUCAGAAAACCAUUCCGUAAGGCGGACUACCCCUCUUGGACUUCAGUAGUUCAACCUUACUGCAAAUUGGGAAGGCAUCUUGUAAAUGUUUCUUAAACCUAUUCUCUUUAUUUUGUUUGUUUUCGGUUGAAACCAAGUAGGCAUCAUCCGAUGUUUUAGUCUCUCUGAAACUGACAAUUGCUUGUUUAGUUGCUUUCAUAGAUUAAAACUUCUCUUCAAGUUUGACCUUACAACUGGAAACUGACAAGGUUUCGUUUUUGACCAUUUCUUCCCGAAAACUGAAGUUGUAAAUCUGAAUAUGAAGAAUUCCAUUGCAAUGUAAAAGUUUUAAUCCCUAAACCUAUUUGUUUUAUUCCUAGGUCAUGGUAAAGCGGAAGAAACAACUUUUCCUCCAAACUUUGUCCACUCCCUUGAUGGUUUCAGUAUAAUGAUGACUGCAGUUCCAUGCAAAAGAGCAGGAUUAAAUUUUGAGUCCAUGAUUCAUAGUGGACACAUGCGUGCGACGUUGAUCUGAUGAGUGGGAUUCUUUGGGAAAAGCUUGUGGAACUCUAUGAAACACCCAUACUUGAAAAUUUACUUGAGAGCUGUCAGCAAUCUUUUCCUACAUUAAGUUUGAGCGAGGAGAUUUCAAUCUAGAUGUCCUGGACUCGCCGUACUUCUUCAACUGACUUGGCAUGUUGUCCAUCUCUUUCCUACAUCCAACAGCCUCUCACUUCAAUGGCCUCGCUUCAAGAGCAGGCACCGUACAAAGAUUCUUCAUCUGCUAUCAAUUUGCAUGAUGGCAGAGCUAAUUCUUUUGCUGGGGGGCAUGGCAACAUGGAAGACGGAGCUCUCCUGUGCUGCUAAAAAGCCUCACUUCAUAUGUAGCAACAGCAUUCCAUAUGUUGUCAAAGACUGCACUGAAGUGCUGAUGACAGAAUUCUUGCACUCAGUUGCCAUCAUAUGCAAUGAGCUUGUAUUAAUGAGGCUGGAGUCUUUCAUAUAAUGGGUUGAGGCAUUUCAUGGCUAGGGCAUGGCCAGAUGCAGAGAGAUGAUUAGGUUGAUGGUCAUAAAAAUAAAAAAUCUUAUGCGAACCAGCAAGAUGGUCUAAUAACUAGUCCAGGCAGGGUGGUUAAAUCCCUACUUCAAUUGAAGCGCCAGGGGUCAUUGACAACAACGCUGAGCAUCUAUAAAUGAGAGGCUAGUUCGGAGCAGCGAGUGGAGGGACGGACAUUUCCAUCUGCAUGUUAUGGAUCUUGACCAAAAAAAAAAAGAUCUUUGUAUUGGCUAUUUCGGAUGAUAUUCUUGCUUGAUUUGUGAUUUAGCUUGUUGUAAGUUAGCAGAAUCCCUGAUUGGUACUUCUAGCCAUUUGUUUUACUGCAAUAUAAGAAUGUAACAUGAAGAAGAAUCAAAUUCAACUGGUGAUGACGAAAUACUACAUGACUGCUUCUUCAGCCUAACA